rnacentral:lncRNA from 1 species
GUAAAGGUGGGUCACAGGAAAACAGUAUUUGUUUGGAGAGAUCAGAAGCCAAGCCCUUUAAAACAAAAAUCUGCAGUGCUCAUUAAGGUUUUGAGGGAUGUCAGAACAGCGCUAACAUUCUCAAAGGAAAACAGAAGGCUUAAGCUGUAUGAAGUAAGACACAGAUAAAACAUGAAGCAACUAAAGUUUUGAAGACCAUCAAAACAUAAUGAAGUUUUUUGAGGGAAAAAAGAAGGGC